GACGAACGCUGGCGGCGUGCUUAACACAUGCAAGUCGAGCGGUAAGGCCCUUUCGGGGGUACACGAGCGGCGAACGGGUGAGUAACACGUGGGUGACCUGCCCUUAGCUCUGGGAUAAGCCUGGGAAACUGGGUCUAAUACCGGAUAUGACCUCAUGACGCAUGUUGUGGGGUGGAAAGCCUUGUGCGGCUAGGGAUGGGCCCGCGGCCUAUCAGCUUGUUGGUGGAGUGANGGCCUACCAAGGCGACGACGGGUAGCCGGCCUGAGAGGCGACCGGCCACACUGGGACUGAGACACGGCCCAGACUCCUACGGGAGGCAGCAAGUGGGGAAUCUUGCGCAAUGGGCGAAAGCCUGACGCAGCGACGCCGCGUGA
rnacentral:rRNA from 1 species